rnacentral:ncRNA from 2 species
CCAUAAUAAAACCUGUUUGGUUUUCCAUUCGGCACAAAGUGCUGGGAAACGAACAGGGAAUUCGGAUAUGGCGGACCCAUGCAGGGCGUCAGGAGCCGAAGCCGCCCCCGCGACUGUAUGCGGAGAGUGCUGACCGGACAUGCCACUUGCAACGAAUGUUGUGGGGAAGGCCCGGCAAAGCGCCACGACCCGCGAGCCAGGAGACCUGCCAGACAUUCACUGAAAAC